rnacentral:pre_miRNA from 1 species
CAAGUACUCCCUCCGUCCGGAAUUACUUGUCAUCAAAACGGAUGUGUCUAGAACUAAAAUACAUCUAGAUACAUCCAUUUCAAUGACAAGUAUUUUCAGACGGAGGGAGUACAAG